AUCCACCCCCACCUCCUUCUUUCCAACCAGAUCGAGCGAGAGCGAGAGCUCGCCUCCUCCCUUCCCGAUCGCCGCCUCGACCUCCCAACCCCUCUCUCUUCCUCUCCCGACGCGGCCACUCUGCUCUCCUCCCCCCUCCAUCGUCUGCCUGCUCUGCCAUCGCCCCACCCUCUCCUCCCCCCUCACCUUCUCUCCCUCGGCGGUCCCGCUUCCAGAUCGAGCAGGUGACGCGGCGGCGCUCUCAGAUCUGUGGCGUGCACCCCAUGGCUCGUCGUCAUGGCCGACGGCCUCAUCCUCGUCGACGAAGGCUUCGAGGGCUGUCGGAUUUCCACUGGCGCGGCUGACGGCGGCUGGGACAGAGGUGCUCCGUGCUCCAGGACCAGGUGAAUGCCUCCGCCUCCGCAGCCCAAGGCCACGCCUUCUUCACACUCACGCGGCGGGGGAGGAGGUGGGGGACCUUGCUGCUUCCUCCGCCAUCUUAACCGAUAGAGGAGGGCGCCCGUGUGCUUCUUCUCGGGCAACGAUGCGUCAUGCCCCUAGUUCAUCUCGUUGUGGGUGGAGCUGCGAGCCAGCGCCGCGCCAUGGCCUCCUGCGUCGCUGGACCCGACCUCCACCAGUCCGUCAUCGUGCCGAUCAGGGUGCCACCAUCAUGCGGGCCACUGUUGUGCAGGCCUGCAGCAUGUUCUAUGACACCCCUGCAACGCUCGAUUGAUGCCCCAAAUCGCAUGGAUGGUGCACCGAUGCACCCAGUUGCCCAAGGUGCAGGGCCGAACGCCAUGACAAUCAAACGCCUCUGCCAGCAAUAGGCAUGGGAGGCAUAUCAGCGAGCCCACCAUCGUGGCUCCAAGAAGAGGGGCAACCACUGCCGCCACUGAAUAAAGGGUGGGGUGGUGCAGUGGCCGCAUGAACAUGCUCAGGGGCUUCAUCGGCGGGGUGCUCAGGAGACGGGCGAUGUGGAUGCUGCCCACCCAUAUGGUACACAACAUGGGGGAGUCCAUCUCCGACCGUCCCAAGCAGAACCAUGAUAGACCUACAACGGCAGAAGGUGAACUAUCUUCACUGAAAUUGAAGAACUAUCUUCACUGUCUCUCCCUGCUGCAUCGUCUCGCCCGUUCUCCUUCUAUUUACUCCGGGAAGGCAUGAUGUACAUCUAGUGGUCAUCAAGUCAAGGAACCUCUUCUUCUUGCCGCGAUUGUCCUCCUCCCCCUACUCGGCUCUGCUCAACAGCUAGCGUCCAUGGCUAAAACAAAGGAUGACUAGUGAUGCAGCACAGCAAGCAGUAGCAGGCACACCAAGCAGCAGCAGCAGGGGGAGGGGGUCUCUCGAACAUUGCCGCUACCACUCAUUUCUACUGUCAUUGAUUGAUGAUUGAUGGCCAUUGUUAGUUUAGCUCCUUGGUAGUCCCCCCUCUCUUGCAAGCGUCUACAACUGCUGGUAGAAAUAGAAAUGGUAGCUCUAGUCCCAUGUUGUAGUCCAAUGUAGUUCCUUUGCUCGGACUGCCCUUUGUUGCUUCAUUUCUAUGUUAAUUCAGUCUCUGUUGAAUGUAUCUACUAUCCACUGUCAUGGUUGUGUAACGAAUACUUUUGUGUUCAAAUAAAUAAAAUGGUUUGGAUACAUGCGUA